GACAAACGCUGGCGGCGUGCUUAACACAUGCAAGUCGAACGGUCUACUUUAGGGUAGAUAGUGGCGGACGGGUGAGUAACACGUAGUUGACCUGCCUUUUGGUGGGGAAUAACUCCUCGAAAGAGGAGCUAAUACCGCAUGAUCUCUCUGUUGUUGGACAGAGAGGAAACCUUCUUCUUGUGAAAGCAAGAGGUAGGGCCGAAAGAGGGGACUGCGGCGGAUUAGCUAGAUGGAGGGGUAAAAGCCUACCAUGGCGACGAUCCGUAGCUGGUCUGAGAGGACGACCAGCCACACUGGGACUGAGACACGGCCCAGACUCCUACGGGAGGCAGCAGUGAGGAAUAUUCCCCAAUGGGCGAAAGCCUGAGGGAGCGACGCCGCGU
rnacentral:rRNA from 1 species